CCGGCCCAAAUCAGAAAUAAAUAAACAAAAAAUAUAAAAAAUAAAAAUAAAAACAAAAAUAAAAACAAAAAUUAUUAAAAGUCCAUCAGUCCAUAGUUACAAACCCAAGUUACAGAGGCCCAAUUUCAAAACAACCAAAAUUUAAACCCAGACCCGAAAUAGACCUUAAACUCGACAUAAACAGAUCCCCAAACCCAUCAACUGAACCUAAAUGGAUCCUAACUUGGACCUAAUUGGCUAAACCCGGAUCACCAGGUCCAAAAUGCAACCGAAUACCCCUAGCCCAAAACCAAAACAAAUAGAAACCCUAAGGUUUCGGAAAUGGCACGAACGCUGCAACAGUGACCUCUAGCACCGUUCUCCCCAGCCACGCACACCUCCAUACGUGCCACGUCUGUGCCUCCGUACAUGCCACGUCCCUCGUCGUACGUCGUACUUGCAAAUAGAGCCAAACAACGCAGCAGAAAGGAGAAAAAUUGUAUUUCAUAUUUUGAUGUUGUUUUAUCUUUAUUUUUUCCAGCCUAUAAAACAAAAGGCUAAACCUUUGUAAUUCUUUUACAUACACGCAUUCAGAAUACAAUGAAAAAAUAUUGAAAUGUGAUUUUCUGGGUUACUUUCAUUUUUUUUCUUUUGCAGAUUGCUUCUCGAUUCCCAUUUUUUUUCUUUUUUUUCUUUCUUCGCUUUCACAUUGGUUAAUAUUUUCUUAAGGAAAGAAACAGUAAAAGAAAGGGGAAAACGUACCAGAUGACGGAUUCCUGGCCUUCUCCGUCGUCAUCGGAGUAUGGGCUGGGAUGAGGAACCGUUCGUAUUUUAGUUUGC
rnacentral:lncRNA from 1 species